rnacentral:rRNA from 1 species
UACGUAGGGUGCGAGCGUUAAUCGGAAUUACUGGGCGUAAAGCGUGCGCAGGCGGUUCGCCAAGUCAGGUGUGAAAUCCCCGGGCUUAACCUGGGAAUUGCGCUUGAAACUAGCGGGCUUGAGUGUGGCAGAGGGGGGUGGAAUUCCACGUGUAGCAGUGAAAUGCGUAGAGAUGUGGAGGAACACCAGUGGCGAAGGCGACUCUCUGGUCUGUAACUGACGCUGAGGCGCGAAAGCGUGGGGAGCAAACAGG